CAUGACUCCAAAUAGAACCAUAAACCCACUAAGAAUGAGGAAGACCUCUGAGAUCAUCCACUCCAACCCAGCCCACCAUGACCCUAAGCAGACCCAUAGAAACAUUAAGGUUGGAGGAGACCUCCAAGAUCUCCAAGCCCAACCCCAACUCAUCCCCAUGACAACCCUAAAUAGAACCACAGAGUCACUGAGGUUGGAAGAGACCUCCAAGAACCCCCAGAUCAACUCCAACCCACCCCACCAUGACCCUAAGCAGACCCAUAGAAACAUUAAGGUUGGAAGAGACCUCCAAGACCCACAAUCCAACCCCAAACCACUCCACCAUGACUCCAAAUAGAACCAUAAACCCAUUAAGAAUGAAGACCUCUGAGAUCAUCCACUCCAACCCAGCCCACCCCACCAUGACCCUAAGCAGACCCAUAGAAACAUUAAGGUUGGAGGAGACCUCCAAGAUCCACAAUCCAACCCCAACUCAUCCCCAUGACAACCCCAAAUAGAACCACAGAGUCACUGAGGUUGGAAGAGACCUCCAAGAACCCCCAGAUCAACUCCAACCCACCCCACCAUGACCCUAAGCAGACCCAUAGAAACAUUAAGGUUGGAGGAGACCUCCAAGAUCCACAAUCCAACCCCAAACCACUCCACCAUGACUCCAGAUAGAACCAUAAACCCAUUAAGAAUGAAGACCUCUGAGAUCAUCCACUCCAACCCAGCCCACCCCACCAUGACCCUAAGCAGACCCAUAGAAACAUUAAGGUUGGAGGAGACCUCCAACAUCCACAAUCCAACCCCAAACCACUCCACCAUGACUCCAAAUAGAACCAUAAACCCACUAAGAAUGAGGAAGACCUCUGAGAUCAUCCACUCCAACCCACCCCACCAUGACCCUAAGCAGACCCAUAGAAACAUUAAGGUUGGAGGAGACCUCCAAGAUCUCCAAGCCCAACCCCAACUCAUCCCCAUGACAACCCCAAAUAGAACCACAGAGUCACUGAGGUUGGAAGAGACCUCCAAGAACCCCCAGCUCAACUCCAACCCAUCCCACCAUGACCCUAAGCAGACCCAUAGAAACAUUAAGGUUGGAGGAGACCUCCAAGGUCCACAAUCCAACCCCAAACCACUCCACCAUGACUCCAAAUAGAACCAUAAACCCAUUCAGAAUGAGGAAGACCUCUGAGAUCAUCCACUCCAACCCAGCCCACCAUGACCCUAAGCAGACCCAUAGAAACAUUAAGGUUGGAGGAGACCUCCAAGAUCUCCAAGCCCAACCCCAACUCAUCCCCAUGACAACCCCAAAUAGAACCACAGAGUCACUGAGGUUGGAAGAGACCUCCAAGAACCCCCAGAUCAACUCCAACCCAUCCCACCAUGACCCUAAGCAGACCCAUAGAAACAUUAAGGUUGGAGGAGACCUCCAAGAUCCACAAUCCAACC